rnacentral:lncRNA from 1 species
UGCUAGUAUGCAACAUGUCUCAAAGGAGGGUACAGUGGGGUUAUGCAGCAGCAGAUAUCUGGAGAGACACUCUAAUAACAACGUCUAACGAGAGGAGGAGAAGCGUCUACCAAGUGAGGUGAUUAACCUAUUUACUAAACACCAAACAACACAAUCCUCCUUUCACCCCCUCAACACCCUGUGAGGAAGCAAUCCAAAGGACACUCACACUUAAGC